rnacentral:lncRNA from 9 species
UAAAGAAGGAAGGAGAAGCAGAUAGGGAAAGUAUUACAAGUCAAAGAGGAGAAAUUAGAGCCAAGCAGGUUAUUGAUCCUCAAGGGGUAAAUAGGAGAGAGAAAGGAGAGCAUCUGAGCCUAAGAGGAGAGAGAGUAGGAUUGAAGAGCUACUGAGAGUGAAGGCAGAGACCAGGACCAAAGGAAGUGGAGAAGAGUCAUAAAGAGGGAAAUGGAACAUUUUGAGAAGAAAGAGAAGACUUGUUAGUCUGUUGAUAAGAAGAGGAAAAAUGGACAUUGGUUUCUUGGAAAGGAGCUAUGACUCAGGAGCUUGAAGGGAAACAGUUGAGAAGUGGAUUCAGGAUGAGCUAGGUUUUAAUUUAACACGUGACUGGGCUUAUGAGACGUAGGAGAAUGCCUAGCGAGAAAAACAGAACAUCGCAGCAGGGCUGAGGGCGGGGUCAUGAAGUUGUGGAAGAAGAUGUGGGCUGCUGUAGACAAAGUCAGUUUCUGAAGGAGGCCACUAAAGAAGAAGGAGGGACUCUGAAGUGACAAAAGCAGAAGCAGAGAGAAGAAAAUAAAGAAGUGAAGAAAAAAAAUCUCUGCCCUCCCAAGAUCGUCCACUGCUGGCUGCCUCUGGUGAUUAUCUGAGCACCAAGAAAGUGUUGCCUCUCUUCUGAGACACCUGCACGGCCACAAGGUCAAGACGGGCAGCUUUCCGUGGUGUGGGCCUCUCCGACUGCGCUGCAUGCUGUAGGAAUUGGGGACCAAGUAAUGAGACUUGUUCUCUGGCUGGAUUAUAUUUGCUCCCGGAGCAUCUCACGCAUUCCACUGACGUCACAGAAGAAAGAAGUGAAGCUGGAGAAACCGUGACCCCCCUGAAGAUGCCCAGGACUGUUCUUUGGCAUUUGUCCAAAGUCCAGGACUGUGGUUUCAUUUUAACCAUAAAACCUUCUUUGGGAAGAAUUGCUUUUCAAUCUGGAAAGAGCCAGGCUGAUACAGAGCAGUAACACCUCCUGCCUGGAACCUGCAGGUGAGCUUAUGUUCAUUUACUGCCGAUAUAGCUGUUUUGAGGCAGGGGAGGAGGGUGAUUCGAUGGGAAAAAAAACAAAAAACGAAAAUGGUGGAUAGUUGGGUUUGGAGGACUCUUUGAAUGUCUGCUUUAAUCCACGUGAUAAACUCUGGUGUCAAAGGAGAGGGGGCCGCGAGAGGGAGUUGAGCGGUGAAACCAUUGAGAGGUCGCUGCGUUCACCUGCUGAGUGCAGCAGAGAAAGGCUUCUUCCUCAGGCUGUCCUCUGGGUACCCACGGGGGAUCAGUUUUCUAGAACGAGCUCGAUUUCUGAUGACAGAAGACACUGGCCCUUUGCCAGGCCACACAGCAAUUCGCAGUUCUGAAAACGUGGUCCACGGAGAGGCCUGUCAGCAGUGACAGCGUUAUCUCGUCGGGAAUGACCCUCGAGAGGCGGUGAAGCCCACCCAGCACGUCCUGAGCUCCCGGCGCUGGUCGGGGUACCUCCGGUUCCUCCUCUUCCCUCACAAGGCAAGUCCUUCAGCAAUAACUCCCUGCAUUUGUAGGACCUGAAACAAUCUUUGAUACAGCAAGACAGAAAUCAGUUAUCUGCCUUUUUUUCAGUUUAAGCAACAGACUUCUUCUUUGGUGAUAAAAAAAAAAAAAUCAAAGAUAAAAAGGAAAUGGACCAUGCCAUGAGACUAACUCUAGAAAAAAAAUGAUUUGUGCUGUUGCAGCUGAGGCAGACAAUUCACAGAAAUAGUCUUCACCCCCCCCCAAAAAAAAGGAAAGAAGAGAAACAAACCAACAAAAGGAA